rnacentral:rRNA from 1 species
CCUACGGGAGGCAGCAGUGAGGGAUAUUGGUCAAUGGACGAGAGUCUGAACCAGCCAAGUAGCGUGAAGGAUGACUGCCCUAGGGGUUGUAAACUUCUUUUAUAUGGGAAUAAAAUGUUCCAUGUGUGGGUUUUUGUAUGUACCAUAUGAAUAAGGAUCGGCUAACUCCGUGCCAGCAGCCGCGGUAAUACGGAGGAUCCGAGCGUUAUCCGGAUUUAUUGGGUUUAAAGGGAGCGUAGGUGGAUUGUUAAGUCAGUUGUGAAAGUUUGCGGCUCAACCGUAAAAUUGCAGUUGAAACUGGCAGUCUUGAGUACAGUAGAGGUGGGCGGAAUUCGUGGUGUAGCGGUGAAAUGCUUAGAUAUCACGAAGAACUCCGAUUGCGAAGGCAGCUCACUGGACUGCAACUGACACUGAGGCUCGAAAGUGUGGGUAUCAAACAGGAUUAGAUACCCUAGUAGUC